rnacentral:lncRNA from 1 species
UUAUUUUCAUGAUUUUUCAAAUCUAAUGACUAUAUGAAUAGAAGCUAUUUGUUCGUUUCAUAAGCGAGUGGUCGACCUGUUCAGCCCCAUUGGCGUGUGUUAGAAGUUUACUUCAAUAGUUCAAUUACUAUUGAACCUGGGGUGGAAGUUGAGGUUAUCAUUGCUGAUUCGUAGAGUAACCUUGUAUUUUAUCUUUUGUUGAGGUCA